rnacentral:misc_RNA from 1 species
UGGUUCCGGCAUCGAUGAAGAACGCAGCGAAAUGCGAUAAGUAAUGUGAAUUGCAGAACUCAGUGAAUCAUCGAAUUUUUGAACGCAUAUUGCGCCCUCCGGUAUUCCGGGGGGCAUGCCUGUUCGAGCGUCAUUGAACACCCCUCAAGCUCCGCUUGGUGUUGGGCACCGUCGCGCCGCGACGCGCCCCAAAUAUAAUUUGGCUGCGGGCUCCGGCUCCGGGCGCUGCGAGGCGUAACAACGUCAUGCGCUCGGGGGUCGGUGCCUCGACCGGCCAGCAAAACAACCCAUCUUAACGUUGACCUCGAAUCAGGUAGGGAUACCCGCUGA